GACGAACGCUGGCGGCGUGCCUAAUACAUGCAAGUCGAGCGAAUCAAGAGGAGCUUGCUCCUCUUGGUUAGCGGCGGACGGGUGAGUAACACGUGGGCAACCUGCCUGUAAGACUGGGAUAACUUCGGGAAACCGGAGCUAAUACCGGAUAAUUCUUUCUCUCUCAUGAGGGAAAGCUGAAAGACGGUUUCGGCUGUCACUUACAGAUUGGCCCGCGGCGCAUUAGCUAGUUGGUGAGGUAACGGCUCACCAAGGCGACGAUGCUUAGCCGACCUGGGAGGGUCAUCGGCCACACAGUGACUGAGACACGGCCCAGACUCCUACGGGAGACAGCAGAAGGGACUCUUCCGCAAGGGACGAAAGUCUGACGGAGCAACGCCGCGUGAGCGAUGAAGGCAUUCGGGUCGUAAAGCUCUGUUGUUAGGGAAGAACAAGUAUCGGAGUAACUGCCGGUACCUUGACGGUACCUAACCAGAAAGCCACGGCUAACUACGUGCCAGCCGCCGCGGUAACAC
rnacentral:rRNA from 1 species